CCCCCGCGCACGCGUCCUGGAGGUUGCCUGGCAACGCAGCCCGGCCAUGGAGGCGUCUUACAAGUCUGAGUCCGAGUCUGAGGCCUGGCCUGGCACUCAGCGGCCCGGGACCGGGACCGUGAGCGCGGCGGUGCGCGAGCACUUGCGGAAGCUGUGUCUGCGCGAGUUCCCGUGCGGCGCCGGCAGCUGGAAUAAGUCACGCUUUCUUCCUCAAACUUGGCGAACAUGGAGAGAGCUGGUCCCCAAAGAGGAGGAUGUGGUGAGCCCCGGGGAGGAGACGGUGGAGGCCCUGCUGGGCCUGGUCCGCAGCCCCCACUCCCCCUGGGCUCUGCUGAACGACUCGAAUGCUGAAGACAGUUUCCUGAGAGAACUGGCCAUCCGGAACCCGCUGAUGAUCACAGACACCUUCUUCUACUCCUACUUCCGGUCCCUGCGGGUGGUAGAUAAGGAGGUCACCCUGGUGGAUAAAGACCUCCUGAAAUUUCUAAAGCUGGAGGAGUUGGUACUGAGCGCCAAUCGAAUCAAGGAGGUGGAUGCCACCAAUCUGCCCCCCACACUCAAGGUGCUGGAGCUCUACGGCAAUGAGAUCAGCAGCAUGGAGUGUCUGUGCGCCCACCCGCCCGCCGGCCUGCAGCACCUGGGGUUAGGCCACAACAAGCUUCUAGGCCCCUUGGAAAGUCUCUACGUCACCGCUGAUCACUGGCCCAACCUCGUCUCCCUGGACCUGGGCUUCAAUGACCUGACAGACCUGCAGAGCAUGGUUGCCAGCCUGAGGACCCUCCGGCACCUGCGACUCCUGGUGCUGCAGGGAAACCCACUGGCCUUGGUGCCCUACUACCGCGGCCUCACCAUCGACAGCCUGGCCCAGCUCUGCGUGCUGGACGACAUCACCGUGUCUCCCAACGAGAAGCAUCUCUUCCGGGGGCUCAGCCUCAAUGGCGAUCUCUUGGCACAGGAGGCGCAGUUUGUGGUGACCAUCGGAAACAUCAGAGGAGUCCUGGACACCUCUGUCCUAGACCCGGAACCCGGGCCCGAAGGCCCUUUCGUCGCUUAUAGCUAUUACGUGACGUACGAUUUUGUGAGAGACGAAGAAGGUGAAGCGGUUGAGGACACAGGCGAGCUGGCCGAGAUCGUCAAGCCCUCUCCCAGCUCAGAAUUAUUAGUUGAGGAAUCUCCUGAAGAGGUCGGCGAAGAUGUCAUCAAAGACAUUGUUGGAGGGGUCACUGAAGAGGUCGAAGGAUCUCUGGAGUCUGAGGUGGAGGAGUCAGGAGAGUCGGAGCUGUCUGUCAUCUCGGGGCCUUCGACCGUCUUGCAGACGCCAAGGGCCUCUGCAGAAGAGCUGGCCAAGUUGCGGCUGCGUAUAGAUCCCCGGCUCUGCCCGUCCCCAGGGACUGUCCUCUUCAACACCACCCACAAGCCCUGGGCUGAGGUCAUCCCGUGCGGCUACGAGAUGCAGCACUCUCUCAGGGACCUGGUGCCACUGAAGGCCUUCCUGCUGGCGGGGACCACUGUGACCAUCGUGGAAGAGAAGAUUCUCUCCUGGCCUGUGGUGCUACCUGCUGUUGACAGUCCCCUGUCUGCCAAGAGAGGAAAGGGGGAGAAGGACAAGAAAGGGAAGGAGAAAGACAGGAAGGGGCAAGGAGAGAAAGAGCCGGCCAAGCAGGAGUGGAAAGUGCCGAAGAAGAAGAAAGAGCUGCCCAAGGAGCUCCGGCAGGACCCCCCCAUCCUCCAGGUGCUGGGCCGGGGCCUGGUGAUCCUGGAGCCCCUGCUUGCCGGGGAGCCCCUGGUGUCCACUGUGUGCAACUUCGGCAUGGUCCGCACCUUGACAUCGGACAGGCUGACACUGGCCAGGGAUUCAAAGAAGAUUAAGAAAGUUGCCAAAAAAGGGACCUGGACUUGUCCUGUGGGGAGCUGCAGAAGCAUCUGAAACGGGUGCGUCUCAGAUUUGAGGUUCAGAAAGAACAUCCAGCCGGGAGGGAGAGAAAGGAGACAGGGAGAGCCGUGGGAGGUGGCUGCAAAGGCACGAGGCCCAAUCACAGCAGAGCAACCCAUCAUGCUGAAGCUGAAAAGUGGAAACAGGCCCGACGUGGUGGCUCACGCCUGUAAUCCCAGCACUUUGGCGUGCUUAUCACCUGAGAAAAGCCAAAAGCCGUGAAUCCGAUCUACGAAAGCGAUUACCACCCCGAGCCCCUGACGGUAGAGGUGCAGAUCCAGCUGAACCAG